AAUUGAAGAGUUUGAUCAUGGCUCAGAUUGAACGCUGGCGGCAGGCCUAACACAUGCAAGUCGAACGGUAACAGGAAGCAGCUUGCUGCUUUGCUGACGAGUGGCGGACGGGUGAGUAAUGUCUGGGAAACUGCCUGAUGGAGGGGGAUAACUACUGGAAACGGUGGCUAAUACCGCAUAACGUCGCAAGACCAAAGAGGGGGACCUUCGGGCCUCUUGCCAUCAGAUGUGCCCAGAUGGGAUUAGCUUGUUGGUGAGGUAACGGCUCACCAAGGCGACGAUCCCUAGCUGGUCUGAGAGGAUGACCAGCCACACUGGAACUGAGACACGGUCCAGACUCCUACGGGAGGCAGCAGUGGGGAAUAUUGCACAAUGGGCGCAAGCCUGAUGCAGCCAUGCCGCGUGUAUGAAGAAGGCCUUCGGGUUGUAAAGUACUUUCAGCGGGGAGGAAGGUGUUGUGGUUAAUAACCGCAGCAAUUGACGUUACCCGCAGAAGAAGCACCGGCUAACUCCGUGCCAGCAGCCGCGGUAAUACGGAGGGUGCAAGCGUUAAUCGGAAUUACUGGGCGUAAAGCGCACGCAGGCGGUCUGUCAAGUCGGAUGUGAAAUCCCCGGGCUCAACCUGGGAACUGCAUUCGAAACUGGCAGGCUUGAGUCUU
rnacentral:rRNA from 1 species